CAAAGGAUAGUUUAAUAAAAAUAUUAAUUUUGGGAAUUAAUGAUAAGAAUUUCUUUCCUUUGA
rnacentral:tRNA from 1 species